GAUCACUAUUCGUUACUGGUUGGUUUUUCCUUCCAUUUUAUUUUAUCUCUGUCCGUAGUCUAAGGUGACCGUUGGUUUUUUAAAUUGAGGCGCCUAACGGUUCAGUUUUAAGCUUCGCGCUUGUGCGCUCGAGUUUGAAUUUCCCACCCUUCCCUCCUCGUGACGUUUCUCAUAUCAUUUGAAUUUGGCGCGGAGUGCCGCCAUGUCUGUUUCUCAUAUUGGAGAUUGGCGCGCUAAGCGGCCAUGACAGUUUGCCAUACUGGUCCUUUUGGCGCGCUCAGCCACGGGAACGUUCUGGAGAGGCCAGAGAGCGGAGAGUUAGUUUCCGGUUAGCCGUUCCGUGAGAAUGACGUGAGUGCAGGAGUGCAAGUAGUUAUCCUCAAUCAUCUUGAUUUUGGUUUGAGUUGAGAUCGUACGGGAUGGAUUUUAAUGCUUUAUAGCAUGGAUAUUUUAUCUGGAGAAAAGUUGGUGGUUUUAUUUUGAUGUUCCGAGCCUAUCUUUUAUUUGUGCUGGUUCACAAUCUAUAAUGCUCUGGAACUGUUUGUGAUGAACUCGAUGUCCACUGUUGUGAUGCCUGAAUGGAUCCCAGUGAUUAUUUUACACCAUAUCGGGUUCUAGGUUAUAUUUUAACCGCCACAUGUGUUUCAUGGUUAUGUUUCCAUGUGUUCAUGAUUUGUUUGGCUUUGCCAUUCUUUCCCGUUACGGUGAUUUCUUGAGGAUUACUGCUGUACAUCAUGCGUCAAGAUUAUUUCCCUGCAUUCAUGUAUUUUUGUUUGUAUGCUGCAACUAGUCUGUUUUACUGCAGUAUUUUAUAGAACCGAUGUGGGUUCUGCUUGGAUCUUUAUGAUCUUCUAACUUAGUUAUUAAUGUUCUGAAUUCUCUAGUUUUGCUAGAACUAUUUUGAUAAUGUUGGUUUGCAUUUGAACCAUUUACAUUGAGUUGAGAUUGAGAGAGUUUGAGUUGGAACUUUAUUGUUCUAUUAAUUGAGUGUUCGGCUGUGAUUUAGAGCCGUGUUUUACUUGAGUUUACGGAGCGUGUUUUGCUCUGGCUAGAGGCUGGUCCUCUCUGAUUUUAAUUUAAUAUUUGUGUGGCUGUCUGCCUCUAUCCUCUUUGAGUGAUUAGAACUUAUUGUUCUUAGUUUUAGUUGUCUUGAACUUGUGAUUUUGAGUUCGCUUCUCAGUGCUAUUGUGCCCCUGUAAUACUGCUGUUUGUUACAUUGUUAUUAAAGCCUUUUUGUUAUUGUUAAACCAUUGAAGACCUACUAGUAGCCUUUUCCUUUGACGGUGACUUGUCACCUGGCGCCCAUAUUUCUUUUGAGGACUUUUAAGUCAAAGCGUACCCUCCCAACCUACCACCUGGCUUGCCGGAGCGGUUAACAAUAACUUGAAUUUAGUUUAUCUGGGCUUUACUUAUUUUUGAG